rnacentral:misc_RNA from 1 species
GAAAUGCGAUACGCAAUGCGAAUUGCAGAAUUCCGCGAGUCAUCAGAUCUUCGAACGCAACUGGCGCUGGCGUUGAGCCAGCAUGGUUGGUUCAGUGUGUUAGAAAUAUCCCAAAUCUCAAUGCGAUUGAAGCGGCCUGCCUGCUGCCCAUUUAUGGGUUCACGGGCUGCCUCUCUCGUGAAAUUUGAGGGGGACCGAGGCUUUCCCGUCCCUCCCUCGAAGUAGUCUCAUUUCACAAUGAGAUCUCGAAGGAGAGGUAUAGGGGCCUCACUUUAUAAAGGUCUUCCUUCUAAACAACAACAACAAACAUUAUUUCUCACGACACCUGAGCCACCCAAGAUCACCCGCUGAACUUAA